CUCUCAAGGCAGGGGGAUGAGGAAAAAAAUGAGAUUUUGGAAAUACAGUGACUACUCAGCUCAUGACACAUGGUGGGCUCUGUGACUGUUUAUUGGAGGCAGAGCCUGUCCUUUAGCCCUGUUCAGGACUCAUCGUUGGGUGCUCUGGCUGACCAGCUGAACAGCCCAAGCAACACUUUGGUGGGACCCCUCCUACUGGCACCUGAGCAUAACAUGGAUGAAGGGAACAUUCUUCCAGCCCUGGAGGAGAAUGCUGAGCUCUUAAAGCACAGUGCCUGCUACGAAGCUCACUGAUAUACUAGCCUAAGUGUGUUCACUGGGCUCUUGAUAUCUGGUUCCGGUCCCCCGGUGAGGGAGGAUCACAGGCUAUCCAGGGGCCAGCCUAUGGGAAUCAUCUCUGAUGGAGACUUGCAAGUCCAAACAAGCCAGAAAAGAGUUAUUUCCCAUCCUCCUUUCUCAUCUUCUGGUACCCCAGUGCCCUCAU